AGGCUUAACACAUGCAAGUCGAGGGGCAGCAUUUUAGUUUGCUUGCAAACUGAAGAUGGCGACCGGCGCACGGGUGAGUAACACGUAUCCAACCUGCCGAUAACUCCGGAAUAGCCUUUCGAAAGAAAGAUUAAUACCGGAUAGCAUACGAAUAUCGCAUGAUAUUUUUAUUAAAGAAUUUCGGUUAUCGAUGGGGAUGCGUUCCAUUAGUUUGUUGGCGGGGUAACGGCCCACCAAGACUACGAUGGAUAGGGGUUCUGAGAGGAAGGUCCCCCUCAUUGGAACUGAGACACGGUCCAAACUCCUACGGGAGGCAGCAGUGAGGAAUAUUGGUCAAUGGGCGAGAGCCUGAACCAGCCAAGUAGCGUGAAGGAUGAAGGCUCUAUGGGUCGUAAACUUCUUUUAUAUGGGAAUAAAGUUUUCCACGUGUGGAAUUUUGUAUGUACCAUAUGAAUAAGGAUCGGCUAACUCCGUGCCAGCAGCCGCGGUAAUACGGAGGAUCCGAGCGUUAUCCGGAUUUAUUGGGUUUAAAGGGAGCGUAGGUGGAUUGUUAAGUCAGUUGUGAAAGUUUGCGGCUCAACCGUAAAAUUGCAGUUGAAACUGGCAGUCUUGAGUACAGUAGAGGUGGGCGGAAUUCGUGGUGUAGCGGUGAAAUGCUUAGAUAUCACGAAGAACUCCGAUUGCGAAGGCAGCUCACUAGACUGUCACUGACACUGAUGCUCGAAAGUGUGGGUAUCAAACAGGAUUAGAUACCCUGGUAGUCCACACAGUAAACGAUGAAUACUCGCUGUUUGCGAUAUACAGUAAGCGGCCAAGCGAAAGCAUUAAGUAUUCCACCUGGGGAGUACGCCGGCAACGGUGAAACUCAAAGGAAUUGACGGGGGCCCGCACAAGCGGAGGAACAUGUGGUUUAAUUCGAUGAUACGCGAGGAACCUUACCCGGGCUUAAAUUGCAACAGAAUAUAUUGGAAACAGUAUAGCCGUAAGGCUGUUGUGAAGGUGCUGCAUGGUUGUCGUCAGCUCGUGCCGUGAGGUGUCGGCUUAAGUGCCAUAACGAGCGCAACCCUUAUCUUUAGUUACUAACAGGUCAUGCUGAGGACUCUAGAGAGACUGCCGUCGUAAGAUGUGAGGAAGGUGGGGAUGACGUCAAAUCAGCACGGCCCUUACGUCCGGGGCUACACACGUGUUACAAUGGGGGGUACAGAAGGCGGCUACCUGGUGACAGGAUGCUAAUCCCAAAAACCUCUCUCAGUUCGGAUCGAAGUCUGCAACCCGACUUCGUGAAGCUGGAUUCGCUAGUAAUCGCGCAUCAGCCAUGGCGCGGUGAAUACGUUCCCGGGCCUUGUACACACCGCCCGUCAAGCCAUGAAAGCCGGGGGUACCUGAAGUACGUAACCGCAAGGAGCGUCCUAGGGUAAAACUGGUAAUUGGGGCUAAGUCA
rnacentral:rRNA from 1 species